CAGUCGAACGGACUCAUAUUGAAACCUAGUGAUUUAUGAGUUAGUGGCGGACGGGUGAGUAACGCGUGGAUAACCUGCCGUAUACCGGGGGAUAACACUUAGAAAUAGGUGCUAAUACCGCAUAAGCGCACGGCUCCGCAUGGGGCAGUGUGAAAAACUCCGGUGGUAUACGAUGGAUCCGCGUCUGAUUAGCUAGUUGGCGGGGUAACGGCUCACCAAGGCAGCGAUCAGUAGCCGGCCUGAGAGGGUGGACGGCCACAUUGGGACUGAGACACGGCCCAAACUCCUACGGGAGGCAGCAGUGGGGAAUAUUGCACAAUGGGGGAAACCCUGAUGCAGCGACGCCGCGUGAGUGAAGAAGUAUCUCGGUACGUAAAGCUCUAUCAGCAGGGAAGAUAAUGACGGUACCUGACCAAGAAGCCCCGGCUAACUACGUGCCAGCAGCCGCGGUAAUACGUAGGGGGCAAGCGUUAUCCGGAUUUACUGGGUGUAAAGGGAGCGUAGACGGCAGCACAAGUCUGGAGUGAAAUCCCGGGGCUUAACCCCGGAACUGCUUUGGAAACUGUGCGGCUGGAGUGCAGGAGGGGUAAGCGGAAUUCCUAGUGUAGCGGUGAAAUGCGUAGAUAUUAGGAGGAACACCAGUGGCGAAGGCGGCUUACUGGACUGUAACUGACGUUGAGGCUCGAAAGCGUGGGGAGCAAACAGGAUUAGAUACCCUGGUAGUCCACGCCGUANACGAUGAAUACUAGGUGUCGGGGGACNAUGGUCCUUCGGUGCCGCAGCAAACGCAUUAAGUAUUCCACCUGGGGAGUACGUUCGCAAGAAUGAAACUCAAA
rnacentral:rRNA from 1 species